AGCUUGCUCUCGGGUGACGAGCGGCGGACGGGUGAGUAAUGUCUGGGAAACUGCCUGAUGGAGGGGGAUAACUACUGGAAACGGUAGCUAAUACCGCAUAACGUCGCAAGACCAAAGUGGGGGACCUUCGGGCCUCAUGCCAUCAGAUGUGCCCAGAUGGGAUUAGCUAGUAGGUGGGGUAACGGCUCACCUAGGCGACGAUCCCUAGCUGGUCUGAGAGGAUGACCAGCCACACUGGAACUGAGACACGGUCCAGACUCCUACGGGAGGCAGCAGUGGGGAAUAUUGCACAAUGGGCGCAAGCCUGAUGCAGCCAUGCCGCGUGUGUGAAGAAGGCCUUCGGGUUGUAAAGCACUUUCAGCGGGGAGGAAGGCGAUAAGGUUAAUAACCUUGUCGAUUGACGUUACCCGCAGAAGAAGCACCGGCUAACUCCGUGCCAGCAGCCGCGGUAAUACGGAGGGUGCAAGCGUUAAUCGGAAUUACUGGGCGUAAAGCGCACGCAGGCGGUCUGUCAAGUCGGAUGUGAAAUCCCCGGGCUCAACCUGGGAACUGCAUUCGAAACUGGCAGGCUAGAGUCUUGUAGAGGGGGGUAGAAUUCCAGGUGUAGCGGUGAAAUGCGUAGAGAUCUGGAGGAAUACCGGUGGCGAAGGCGGCCCCCUGGACAAAGACUGACGCUCAGGUGCGAAAGCGUGGGGAG
rnacentral:rRNA from 1 species